CCUGCCCUUACAUCCGAGCCUCGCCCAGGCUAAGCAGCGACUGAUGACAGGUCGCUAGUGCACAAGAACGGAAGUAGAGCGAAGAACGCAUGCGACGCACAGCGAGAAACCGGUGUUUUGUGAUGUCGCGUGAGACACUUUCAACGAGGAGGACAAGAAUAAUGAACAGCUUCUAGAAUAAAAGCGUGGAUCACCUGAACUUUUUGAUAAUCAGCAGUAUGGAUCGCAGUCUGACCAUUGUGUUAUUUGGAAACUCUGCUGCAGUCCAGUUCCAACAUGACAAUUUUCUUCUUGGAGAAAUACAACCAAAUAUUGGAAAUGCAACAGUAUCCAGGACUGUUCCUGUUCAGAUGAAGAAAUCAGGACAUCACGUGUCAAUGAUCAACCUGAUUGGCUUGCAUGAGACUGCAGUUGACCUGGACGCUCUCAGUGGCCAACUAGUAAAUGAAAAUGAAAUCAUCGCCUUCAUCUUUGUUGUGCGACUGGGCCAGUUAACAGAUUCUGAUAAGAUGGGUAUUGAGUGGC